GCUCAGGAUGAACGCUAGCUACAGGCUUAACACAUGCAAGUCGAGGGGCAUCAGGAAGAAAGCUUGCUUUCUUUGCUGGCGACCGGCGCACGGGUGAGUAACACGUAUCCAACCUGCCCUUUACUCGGGGAUAGCCUUUCGAAAGAAAGAUUAAUACCCGAUGGCAUAAUGAUUCCGCAUGGUUUCAUUAUUAAAGGAUUCCGGUAAAGGAUGGGGAUGCGUUCCAUUAGGUUGUUGGUGAGGUAACGGCUCACCAAGCCUUCGAUGGAUAGGGGUUCUGAGAGGAAGGUCCCCCACAUUGGAACUGAGACACGGUCCAAACUCCUACGGGAGGCAGCAGUGAGGAAUAUUGGUCAAUGGGCGCUAGCCUGAACCAGCCAAGUAGCGUGAAGGAUGAAGGCUCUAUGGGUCGUAAACUUCUUUUAUAUAAGAAUAAAGUGCAGUAUGUAUACUGUUUUGUAUGUAUUAUAUGAAUAAGGAUCGGCUAACUCCGUGCCAGCAGCCGCGGUAAUACGGAGGAUCCGAGCGUUAUCCGGAUUUAUUGGGUUUAAAGGGAGCGUAGGUGGACUGGUAAGUCAGUUGUGAAAGUUUGCGGCUCAACCGUAAAAUUGCAGUUGAUACUGUCAGUCUUGAGUACAGUAGAGGUGGGCGGAAUUCGUGGUGUAGCGGUGAAAUGCUUAGAUAUCACGAAGAACUCCGAUUGCGAAGGCAGCUCACUGGACUGCAACUGACACUGGUGCUCGAAAGUGUGGGUAUCAAACAGGAUUAGAUACCCUGGUAGUCCACACAGUAAACGAUGAAUACUCGCUGUUUGCGAUAUACAGUAAGCGGCCAAGCGAAAGCAUUAAGUAUUCCACCUGGGGAGUACGCCGGCAACGGUGAAACUCAAAGGAAUUGACGGGGGCCCGCACAAGCGGAGGAACAUGUGGUUUAAUUCGAUGAUACGCGAGGAACCUUACCCGGGCUUAAAUUGCAGUGGAAUGAUGUGGAAACAUGUCAGUGAGCAAUCACCGCUGUGAAGGUGCUGCAUGGUUGUCGUCAGCUCGUGCCGUGAGGCGUCGGCUUAAGUGCCAUAACGAGCGCAACCCUUAUCUUUAGUUACUAACAGGUCAUGCUGAGGACUCUAGAGAGACUGCCGUCGUAAGAUGUGAGGAAGGUGGGGAUGACGUCAAAUCAGCACGGCCCUUACGUCCGGGGCUACACACGUGUUACAAUGGGGGGUACAGAAGGCAGCUAGCGGGUGACCGUAUGCUAAUCCCAAAAGCCUCUCUCAGUUCGGAUCGAAGUCUGCAACCCGACUUCGUGAAGCUGGAUUCGCUAGUAAUCGCGCAUCAGCCACGGCGCGGUGAAUACGUUCCCGGGCCUUGUACACACCGCCCGUCAAGCCAUGGGAGCCGGGGGUACCUGAAGUACGUAACCGCAAGGAUCGUCCUAGGGUA
rnacentral:rRNA from 1 species